rnacentral:rRNA from 1 species
GACGAACGCUGGCGGCGUGCUUAACACAUGCAAGUCGAACGGAAAGGCCCUGCUUUUGUGGGGUGCUCGAGUGGCGAACGGGUGAGUAGCACGUGUGUCACCUGCCCUUGACUUUGGGAUAACUUCAGGAAACUGGGGCUAAUCCCGGAUAGGCGCUCCUGCUGCAUGGUGGGGGUUGGAAAGUUUCGGCGGUUGGGGAUGGACUCGCGGCUUAUAGGCUUGUUGGGGGGGUAGUGGCUUACCAAGGCUUUGACGGGUAGCCGGCCUGAGGGGGGGACCGGCCAAAUUGGAAUUGGGAUAGGGCCAGGACUCCAACGGGGGGAAGCGGUGGGGAAUAUUGAACAAGGGGCGGAAGCCGGAGGCAGCAAGGCGGCGUGCGGGAGGACGGCCUUCGGUUUGAAAACCGCUUUCGCCUGGGACGAAGUUUGAGUGACGGUAAUGGGUAAAGAAGCACCGGCUAACUACGUG